GAUGAACGCUAGCGGCAGGCCUAAUACAUGCAAGUCGGACGGGAUCCAUUGAUAGCUUGCUAUCAAUGGUGAGAGUGGCGCACGGGUGCGUAACGCGUGAGCAACCUGCCUCCAUCAGGGGGAUAGCCUCUCGAAAGAGAGAUUAACACCGCAUAAUAUCAACAGUUCGCAUGUUCAGUUGAUUAAAUAUUUAUAGGAUGGAGAUGGGCUCGCGUGACAUUAGCUAGUUGGUAGGGUAACGGCUUACCAAGGCGACGAUGUCUAGGGGCUCUGAGAGGAGAAUCCCUCACACUGGUACUGAGACACGGACCAGACUCCUACGGGAGGCAGCAGUAAGGAAUAUUGGUCAAUGGGCGGAAGCCUGAACCAGCCAUGCCGCGUGCAGGAUGACUGCCCUAUGGGUUGUAAACUGCUUUUGUCCAGGAAUAAACCUAAAUACGAGUAUUUAGCUGAAUGUACUGGAAGAAUAAGGAUCGGCUAACUCCGUG
rnacentral:rRNA from 1 species